AUCAGAUCAAGUCUAGUAGGGUAGCUACACCCAUUCCUAGGCCAAAGGAUGUGGAUCUGGAAAAGGCACCAACAUCUGAAUGUGCAUAUGUUCUAUUGGCUGAGAGGCUGGAAAGGGGCGGUGGUUGAUGUCAUUGCUGCCGUCAUUCGUAGCUGGUGUAGUUAGGGUUAAGGUUUUUGGAGUGAGAAAUGAUGGAAGGAGAGGAUGUGCAUAGAGAAGGUAAGGGUAUAUUUGGAAUUUUAAGUGUGGACUGAGAUAAAGUAAAAAUCAAAUUACUAGAAGUGUGGAUUGAGAAAAGAUGUAUACAAAGAUGAUUUGGUGCGGAAAUAGAAUUUCCCAUGAUUAUGCCAUGAUUUUCAGGAAAUAAUUUUUUCCCAA